AGAGUUUGAUCCUGGCUCAGGAUGAACGCUAGCGGCAGGCCUAACACAUGCAAGUCGAGGGGCAUCACGGAAAAGCUUGCUUUUCUGGUGGCGACCGGCGCACGGGUGCGGAACGCGUAUGGAACCUGCCCCUGUCAGGGGAAUAGCCCAGGGAAACUUGGAUUAAUGCCCCAUGGUACCGCGAUAUCGCAUGAUAUUGCGGUUAAAGAUUUAUCGGACAGGGAUGGCCAUGCGUACCAUUAGUUAGUUGGUGGGGUAACGGCCCACCAAGGCAGCGAUGGUUAGGGGCCCUGAGAGGGGGAUCCCCCACACUGGUACUGAGACACGGACCAGACUCCUACGGGAGGCAGCAGUGAGGAAUAUUGGACAAUGGGCGGGAGCCUGAUCCAGCCAUGCCGCGUGCAGGAUGACUGCCCUAUGGGUUGUAAACUGCUUUUAUACGGGAAGAAACGCACCUACGUGUAGGUGUCUGACGGUACCGUAAGAAUAAGGACCGGCUAACUCCGUGCCAGCAGCCGCGGUAAUACGGAGGGUCCGAGCGUUAUCCGGAAUCAUUGGGUUUAAA
rnacentral:rRNA from 1 species